CAUUGGCCAGGAAGUAUAACCAUAAUAAGAUGAUCUGCCACAAGUAAAUCGUGGGUUUUCUUUAAUACAUGAAUUCUAUAUGUUAUCUGUCGUUGACCAACUAUCCCAAAUGCUGUUAGGUUUUCAAAGGUACAUGGUUGGUGUAACUUCUCAUCUAAUUAGAUUCAUUUUCAAGUUGAAUUGAUCAGUAUGCAUGGAUUUUAAAAUUUUGGCCGAACAUAUUUGAAAAUGUUGUAUGCCAUUAUCUACAGAUCUUUUGGUGAUGUUGAUGGGUCUGAGAUCUCGGGUUGCUCCAUUAAAAGUUGUCUUUGGCGGAGAGCACGUGGAUGUCAUUAUAGGAGCUGUUGUGGCUGAUGGCAAGGUGACCCCCAAGGUGUAGGCACUAAUGAAAUACUUCUCAAGUAUCAGCAUACAGAAGACUUCCAUGCAAUCAUCUUUGUUGAGCGUGUUGUUUCUGCAUUAGUUAUGCUGAAGAUUGAUAGACGACAACAAAGUAG